rnacentral:tRNA from 1 species
GUGGCUCAGUGGUAGAGUACUUGCCUUGCAUGCAAGAGGUCCUAGGUUAAAUUCCUCAGC